rnacentral:lncRNA from 1 species
AGGGCUUCCUCGAAGCAAAGUGUGUACCUGAAUAAUUUACAUACAGCGGAUACAUUAAGUUCAUCAACCAAAAGACACGAGUUAUGAACUGAAUAUAUCACAAGGCCAAAAGGCACUAAACAUAUCUGAGUAUAAAUGUAUAAGACAUACAGUCAUCCAAAAUACAAACUAGGCCCUAAGCCUAACCAAAAUGUAGUCUAACAAGUGCUAACAUCUACUCUCCGGCAUAAUCUACGAAGUCCUCGCCAUCCACACGACCCACAGUCUCGCUUGGCUCUCCGUCAUCUAAGGUGGGGGAUAACCCGUUCAUUUAUCACAUACAAAGCAAGGGUCACCAUAUGGAAACAGGAAAUACAAAUACCAAAUACCAAAUAGAAAGCGGCUAAACACUUAUCAUUUUCCUCAACACACGCAUAAUAAAUAAAAUGCGCACAUAGCCUAAUGCAAACCUCUAAUGAAUGAGUUUGGCACCCCGUCACAGGAUCGCCACGGU